rnacentral:rRNA from 1 species
AAAUUGAAGAGUUUGAUCAUGGCUCAGAUUGAACGCUGGCGGCAGGCCUAACACAUGCAAGUCGAACGGUAACAGGAAGCAGCUUGCUGCUUUGCUGACGAGUGGCGGACGGGUGAGUAAUGUCUGGGAAACUGCCUGAUGGAGGGGGAUAACUACUGGAAACGGUAGCUAAUACCGCAUAACGUCGCAAGACCAAAGAGGGGGACCUUAGGGCCUCUUGCCAUCGGAUGUGCCCAGAUGGGAUUAGCUAGUAGGUGGGGUAAAGGCUCACCUAGGCGACGAUCCCUAGCUGGUCUGAGAGGAUGACCAGCCACACUGGAACUGAGACACGGUCCAGACUCCUACGGGAGGCAGCAGUGGGGAAUAUUGCACAAUGGGCGCAAGCCUGAUGCAGCCAUGCCGCGUGUAUGAAGAAGGCCUUCGGGUUGUAAAGUACUUUCAGCGGGGAGGAAGGGAGUAAAGUUAAUACCUUUGCUCAUUGACGUUACCCGCAGAAGAAGCACCGGCUAACUCCGUGCCAGCAGCCGCGGUAAUACGGAGGGUGCAAGCGUUAAUCGGAAUUACUGGGCGUAAAGCGCACGCAGGCGGUUUGUUAAGUCAGAUGUGAAAUCCCCGGGCUCAACCUGGGAACUGCAUCUGAUACUGGCAAGCUUGAGUCUCGUAGAGGGGGGUAGAAUUCCAGGUGUAGCGGUGAAAUGCGUAGAGAUCUGGAGGAAUACCGGUGGCGAAGGCGGCCCCCUGGACGAAGACUGACGCUCAGGUGCGAAAGCGUGGGGAGCAAACAGGAUUAGAUACCCUGGUAGUCCACGCCGUAAACGAUGUCGACUUGGAGGUUGUGCCCUUGAGGCGUGGCUUCCGGAGCUAACGCGUUAAGUCGACCGCCUGGGGAGUACGGCCGCAAGGUUAAAACUCAAAUGAAUUGACGGGGGCCCGCACAAGCGGUGGAGCAUGUGGUUUAAUUCGAUGCAACGCGAAGAACCUUACCUGGUCUUGACAUCCACGGAAGUUUUCAGAGAUGAGAAUGUGCCUUCGGGAACCGUGAGACAGGUGCUGCAUGGCUGUCGUCAGCUCGUGUUGUGAAAUGUUGGGUUAAGUCCCGCAACGAGCGCAACCCUUAUCCUUUGUUGCCAG